GCCGAUGAUGAUUUAUGGUUGGUUGCAGCAAAUGCAAGAUAUUAAUCUUGUAUGUUGUUGAUAUUUGUGUACUAGGACGGUCUGAGGC
rfam:Beta vulgaris subsp. vulgaris Bvchr1.sca001.con0253.1, whole genome shotgun sequence.